AUAAAGUUAGAUAAGAGAAAUGAGACUCAGUGUUCAAUAGAUCCAUAGAGUGAUCAUAGUUAACAAUAAUCUGUUUUAUAUUUCAAAAUACUUAGGAGCAAAUAAUCUGAAUGUUCCCAGCAUAAAGAAAGGAAAAAUGCUUAAGGUGAUGGAUAUCACAAUUACUGAUUUGAUCACAUUAUUUGAAUAUAUGAAAAUAUCACAUGUACCUAGAAGACACAUACAUCCGCAUUUUGAAGACAUGCUUCUUGUCUCUUGGCUUUCAUAAUUUCUGUUGAUAAGUUCUACAUCACGGCUACUGUAAAUUCUUUAAAGAGUACACUUCUUCUUCUUACAUAUUAAAAAGUUAACUGUAAAACAGCCUCAGGCAGGUCUCUCAGGAAGUGUUCCAGAAG
rnacentral:lncRNA from 13 species